CCUACGGGUGGCUGCAGUAGGGAAUUUUCGUCAAUGGGCGCAAGCCUGAACGAGCAAUGCCGCGUGAACGAGGAAGGUCUUCGGAUCGUAAAGUUCUGUUGAAGGGGAAAAAAAGCGGAUAGAGGAAAUGAACUCCGAUUGAUAUUACCCUUCGAGGAAGUCACGUCUAACUACGUGCCAGCAGCCGCGGUAAUACGUAGGUGGCGAGCGUUAUCUGGAAUGAGUGGGCGUAAAGGGUGCGUAGGCGGCCUGCUAAGUCUGGAGUGAAAGGUACCGGCUCAACCGGUAGAGGCGCUGGAAACUGGCGGGCUAGAGAGCAGGAGAGGGAGGUGGAAUUCCAUGUGUAGCGGUAAAAUGCGUAGAUAUAUGGAAGAACACCAGUGGCGAAGGCGGCCGCCUGGACUGUUACUGACGCUGAGGCACGAAAGCGUGGGGAGCAAAUAGGAUUAGAUACCCCAGUAGUC
rnacentral:rRNA from 1 species